UACGUAGGGGCAAGCGUUGUCCGUAUUUAUUGGGCGUAAAGAGCGUGUAGGCGGUUUGGUAGGUCCGUUGUGAAAACUCGAGGCUCAACCUCGAGACGCCGAUGGAAACCAUCAGACUAGAGUCCGGAAGAGGAGAGUGGAAUUCCUGGUGUAGCGGUGAAAUGCGCAGAUAUCAGGAGGAACACCAAUGGCGAAGGCAGCUCUCUGGUACGUGACUGACGCUGAGACGCGAAAGCGUGGGGAGCGAACAGG
rnacentral:rRNA from 1 species